rnacentral:rRNA from 1 species
AAUUGUGGGCAAAUUUCCUUGUCAAAGCCUGAUCUCGGAAGCAAAGCGGGGCUGGACUGGUCAGGACUUUGAUGGGAGACCGCUGGGAAUAUCAAGUGUCACAAUGG